ACAGGUUGGAGGCCAUAGCAGAAGCACUCAUGGCACGGCUGUGUGAGAUUCCAAUGAAUCUGUGAAUUCUGUU
rnacentral:ribozyme from 1 species